AUGUCUGAUGCACGCACGCUGUGCUACUGCUAUCUGGUGACUUGCUACGCACACACUGCAACAGGUUCUUCUUUGGUGUAUCAGGCCAGGCGUAAUUUGUUUUCAAAGAUGCUCACAUACACACACAAACGACAUCCAGUAGGCGCUUGGACAACCGAUAGAUUGAAAGCACAGAAGCAAAUAUUUCCAAUACGAGGCCACGAUGCCCGACAGAGAUGUAGCCAAUAUGCGCCCAAUCCUUAUUUCUUGAUGUUGGAACAAAUCAACAGGGAAAGGCUCCCCUGCUCCAUUUGCAUUAGAAGCCUGAACAAACAUCCCUGGCUUCCUCUGAAGAGUGACAUAUUGUUUUGA
rnacentral:rRNA from 1 species